UAUAUACUCCCUCCGUUCCGAAUUACUUGUUGCAGGUAUGGAUGUAUCUAGAUGUAUUUUAGUUCUAGAUACAUCCAUUUCUGCGACGAGUAAUUUGGAACGGAGGGAGUACAUC
rnacentral:pre_miRNA from 1 species